GCCAGUGUGGUGUAGUGGUUUGAAGAUUGGACUAUGACUCUCGAGACCAGAGUUCAAAUCUCUGCUCAGCCA